rnacentral:rRNA from 1 species
GGACUCGGGGGGAAGUAUGCUCGCAAGAGUGAAACUUAAAGGAAUUGACGGAAGGGCACCACCAGAUGUGGAGCCUGCGGCUUAAUUUGAUUCAACACGGGAAAACUUACCAGGUCCAGACAUAGCAAGGAUUGACAGAUUGAAGUUCUUUCUUGAUUCUAUGCAUGGUGGUGCAUGGCCGUUCUUAGUUGGUGGAGUGAUUUGUCUGGUUAAUUCCGAUAACGAACGAGACCUCAGCCAUCUAACUAGCCGUCGCUAACUUGUUAGCGUUUGCCCGCAAGUUCGGCUUCUUAGAGGGACAAUCUGCUCCCAGCAGAUGGAGGAGAGGCGAUAACAGGUCAGUGAUGCCCUUAGAUGCUCUGGGCUGCACGCGCGCUACAAUGACGCAUGCAACGAGUGCAACCUGGUUCGGAAGAACUGGGUAAUCUACAAUUUGCGUCCAAGUGGGAAUAGAUGAUUGCAAUUGUUCAUCUUGAACAAGGAAUAUCUAGUAAACGCAAGUCAUCAACUUGCAUUGAUUACGUCCCUGCCCUUUGUACACACCGCCCGUCGCUUCUACCGAUUGAAUAACUGGGUGAAUUGAGUGGAUGGAUUUCGAAAGAAAACCAGAAGCCCUGUAAACCCUGUUAUUUAGAGGAAGGAAAAGUCGUAACAAGGUUUCCGUAGGUGAACCUGCAGAGGGAUC